CCUACGGGGGGCUGCAGUGGGGGAUAUUGCACAAUGGGGGGAACCCUGAUGCAGCGACGCCGCGUGGGUGAAGGAGUAUUUCGGUAUGUAAAGCCCUAUCGGCAGGGAAGAAAUUGGACGGUACCUGACUAAGAAGCCCCGGCUAACUACGUGCCAGCAGCCGCGGUAAUACGUAGGGGGCAAGCGUUAUCCGGAUUUACUGGGUGUAAAGGGAGCGUAGGCGGUUUAGCAAGUCAGAAGUGAAAGCCCGGGGCUCAACUCCGGGACUGCUUUUGAAACUGUUGAACUAGAUUGCAGGAGAGGUAAGUGGAAUUCCUAGUGUAGCGGUGAAAUGCGUAGAUAUUAGGAGGAACACCAGUGGCGAAGGCGGCUUACUGGACUGUAAAUGACGCUGAGGCUCGAAAGCGUGGGGAGCAAACAGGAUUAGAUACCCUUGUAGUC
rnacentral:rRNA from 1 species